rnacentral:lncRNA from 10 species
CCCCCACCGGGGGAACUUCUCCGCCGACUUUUGGGCUCUCGGGACGCAGGACCGCCCCAGCGGCGGCCUCGGCCCCGCGAGUUCUGCUGGGAGCGGGGAGGCCCUGGCGUCUCAGGUGAGUCCCCUGUUCCCUAGACCGACCGGACACCCGGAGGCUGCACUCACCUGGCGGGGCCUCAGACGCCCGGCGGCCUCGCCCGCCUCCCUAGACAGAGGGCUUGCCAGUGUGCAGGGUCCCAGGGAGAAGCUGCUGCCGGGAAGACACUGGAUCGCCCAGGACCCAGCAUGGCUGAAGGGGCAUGUUGAACAGGGCAAAGAAGCACCCACUGAGCUGGGACCAGCAGUGGGAAAGUGAGUUGAAUCAUCCUCACCCCUGUUGCCUGGAGCAGCCUGGUAUCCAGUGGAUAAUGAUUUGAAGCACCCUGGAGAUGUAUGGAAAUGUUCCAUGACCAAGGAAUUAUGAAGGGUGUGAGUCACCCCUAAUGGAGGUGGGAGAACAGGAGGCGUGGUGGGAGGCCCCAUCCCAACAAAUCACAUCCAUGUUCACAAGGGCUCCUGCCAAGGGCCCAUCUUAGAACCUGGAGAUCAAUGUCCCACACGGCCUUCCCUUUGCUGCUCUAGAUGCAACUUCACCUCCCUGCGUUCCCCUGGCAAGUGGGGUCCGCUGCUUGGGCAGUCACUCCAGGUCUGUCCAUGCUGCAGAAGACAGCCACUGUGUGUCCCUCCUACAGAUGGACUGGAUGCUCACCAGCCCCUGCCAAUGGAGAGACACGAGGCCCUCAUGCAAACUGGCAGCCCUAGAGGAGAACCCACCAUACCUGUUGGACAGAAACAGUACCCAGAACCCUCAGUCUGCCUCUGCCUGACAUGGCCUUGGCUGCCUGGCCAACUGGCUUGUAGAAGAGGGAUAUUGGCCUGAGUCAAGGGGACAGAGUUGGAGGCAUUGCAUUGUCACCUAGCAGCAGUAUGUCUGGGCAACAUGUGUUACCUCUCUUCCCCUUCUCCUGCCGGCCAGAUAUCCCUCAGAUUCAUCCUGGAUCCGGUACUGUUCUUCUUCGAGUAUAUGGCCUGCUUCAAGAUAAUGUACACUGCACAUCAGCUAAAUAAUUAUAAAGCAGCUAGUGUCUCCCAAGACGGAGCCCCCGCAAUGUCAGUGAUUUUGACAGGCAGAGGUGACUGCCACAGAUCGGAGGAUCAUAUCCUCUCAAUACAGCCUCCAGGGAAGAAGCACAGGAGCAACUUUCCAUCUCUUGAAUGUCUUCUUCUCCCUGGGGAAGAAGCACCUAAAUCUCCAGUCCACUUCCUCUCAGGCCCCACCUACCAGAUCUGGGUCACAGGCCCACCCCCUGCUGCCAGGUAA